rnacentral:rRNA from 1 species
UACGGAGGGUGCAAGCGUUAAUCGGAAUUACUGGGCGUAAAGCGUGCGCAGGCGGUUUGUUAAGUCCGUUGUGAAAUCCCCGAGCUCAACUUGGGAAUUGCAGUGGAUACUGGCAAGCUGGAGUAUGGUAGAGGAAGGUGGAAUUCCCGGUGUAGCAGUGAAAUGCGUAGAGAUCGGGAGGAACACCAGUGGCGAAGGCGGCCUUCUGGACCAAUACUGACGCUCAUGCACGAAAGCGUGGGGAGCAAACAGG